ACACUACAAAGACAUAACAAAGUAAGUAUGUUACUCGAUAUAUUACUUAUAUUUGGGUGAUUUUUAUUUUUUUCUUUAACCAUUAUUUAUUGCAGUUUUUGUUCUUAUUUUCAAUCUCAGUUCCCUGUCUUUUUUUUUCUUUUCCCAUACUUUGUAGUUGUUAUCUGAUCAAUGUUGUACCCGUCACAGUCCAGCACAGCCCCAGCCCCGCCACAGCCCAGCUCUAGCCCAACCCCAACCUCAGCCCAGAGCCCCAGCCACAGCCCAACCAUAG
rnacentral:lncRNA from 1 species